UUUCGUCAAUUGAAUUCCACACAUUACUGCCAACAAAACGUAUAUUAAAUUUUCCAUAGUUGGUUCUUACUUUUGGAAGGGAGUAUGACGAUCUCGAAGCAAGUCUGGUGUUAUAGUUAUGUUUUUGGCUUACUAAUGCAAAAUACUCAUCAAAUACGUGAGGAAGUCGACCUGUAUGAAAGUCGUACAUAAAUAGUGCAUUAUGAUAAAAAAUAAGGUCAUGAAACUUGAGAAAACGAAGUUGAAUGAAGAGAGGGUUAGUAUGAUCCUGAUAGUUAGAAAAUGUUAUUAAACGAAUAAUCUUUUUUUGUAGGAUAGCUAAUGGAUUCACUGUUGUUACUGGGUUUAGCUGAACUCUUCCCAAACAUAAAACCCAUGUCUUCAAAAAACUGUAUUAAAUUCAUACAAUUGAUAAUAUACGACGAACUAUCUUUACUACCAUUUAUUUGAAGGAGUUUGUUUUGACCGUCGCGUUACCGUCCUAAAAUCGUAAGGUCUCUAAUGGAAAGCGCCCUUGGAUCAGCAAACCUCAAAUUGACAAGUCUUCUGUUCAGACAAACGCAUAACCUUGCUUAAAGUGUAUAUAAAAUAUAUACAAACGUAAUACAACUCCAAUAAAGAGAUAAAAGUUUCAACAAGUUGCAUCGAACUUAUAGGUAGUGUUGGUAGGUACUGCAUGUACAACUGUUAAACACUGUGAUAGAGGCUGUUUAACUUAGGUAACGCAGCAGUACAGACUUUGUAAGUUCUUUAUAGAAUGCAUCGUAUUAUGGCUCACAAUGGACCUAUUUCCUAAUGAACAAAAUUUUGAUCUAGACAAGUCUAGACAAAAGUUCAUCACAGCUUGAAAGAGCAUCACAAAAUUAGUAAUAUUCCGAAGUUUCGUUGCGAGAUGUUGUAAAAUGCGGAUAAUAUAGCCAUGCGAAGUUUGCCGUUUUUCAGUCAUUUUGUAAUAUUACGCACGGGAAAUUGGUACCGCUUUCUGAAAAAAGG